rnacentral:rRNA from 1 species
AUGAACGCUAGCGGCAGGCCUAACACAUGCAAGUCGAACGGUAACAGGGAGAAGCUUGCUUUUCCGCUGACGAGUGGCGCACGGGUGCGUAACGCGUAUAGAACUUACCCUUUACAGGGGGAUAGCCCGGAGAAAUCCGGAUUAAUACCCCGUAGUACUGAGAGGAGGCAUCUUUUUUCAGUUAAAGCUUCGGUGGUAAAGGAUGGCUAUGCGUCCUAUUAGCUAGAUGGUGAGGUAACGGCUCACCAUGGCUACGAUAGGUAGGGGCCCUGAGAGGGGGAUCCCCCACACUGGUACUGAGACACGGACCAGACUCCUACGGGAGGCAGCAGUGAGGAAUAUUGGACAAUGGUCGAAAGACUGAUCCAGCCAUGCCGCGUGCAGGAAGACGGCCCUAUGGGUCUUAAACUGCUUUUAUACGGGAAGAAAAAAGGGCACGUGUGCCCUACUGACGGUACCGUAAGAAUAAGGACCGGCUAACUCCGUGCCAGCAGCCGCGGUAAUACGGAGGGUCCGAGCGUUAUCCGGAAUUAUUGGGUUUAAAGGGUCCGUAGGCGGGCCAUUAAGUCAGAGGUGAAAGUUUGCGGCUCAACCGUAAAAUUGCCUUUGAUACUGCUGGUCUUGAGUUGCGGUGAAGUGGCCGGAAUAUGUGGUGUAGCGGUGAAAUGCAUAGAUAUCACAUAGAACACCGAUUGCGAAGGCAGGUCACUAACCGCCGAACUGACGCUGAUGGACGAAAGCGUGGGGAGCAAACGGGAUUAGAUACCCCGGUAGUCCACGCCGUAAACGAUGGACACUAGCUGUCGGGCCUUUAUAGGUUCGGUGGCCAAGCGAAAGUGAUAAGUGUCCCACCUGGGGAGUACGUCGGCAACGAUGAAACUCAAAGGAAUUGACGGGGGUCCGCACAAGCGGUGGAGCAUGUGGUUUAAUUCGAUGAUACGCGAGGAACCUUACCAGGGCUUAAAUGGGAGAUGACAGGAGCAGAGACGCUCUUUUCUUCGGACAUCUUUCAAGGUGCUGCAUGGUUGUCGUCAGCUCGUGCCGUGAGGUGUCAGGUUAAGUCCUAUAACGGGCGCAACCCCUACCGUUAGUUGCCAGCAUGUAAAGAUGGGGACUCUAACGGGACUGCCGGUGCAAACCGUGAGGAAGGUGGGGAUGACGUCAAAUCAUCACGGCCCUUACGUCCUGGGCUACACACGUGCUACAAUGGUCGGUACAGAGGGCAGCUACUACGCGAGUAGGAGCGAAUCCUUAAAACCGAUCUCAGUUCGGAUCGGAGUCUGCAACUCGACUCCGUGAAGCAGGAAUCGCUAGUAAUCUGAUAUCAGCCAUGAUCCGGUGAAUACGUUCCCGGGCCUUGUACACACCGCCCGUCAAGCCAUGGAAGCUGGGGGUGCCUGAAGUCGGUGACCGCAAGGAGCUGCCUAGGGUAAAACUAGUAACUGGGGCUA